GUUUCUUUGGAUGUUGUCCGAAGAAUAGAAGAUUUAUGUUURUUUUGUUGGGUUAUGCCUAAGUUGCUAGUGGUUAAUAUUAGCUUAAAUUUCAGCAUAGAAGUGAAAAUCUUYCGAUUCUUUUCUUCUGAUUAUGGUUAAUAGAAUGGUUUAAGCUGUUCUUUGUCAGUAUACUUUUGUCUUAGUUAAAAAACAAUUCGAAUGGUUGAUUUUUGUGUUAUAUUUACUUAGGUUAAUUGUGGGGUGUUAUGUAUAGGCUGUCCGUUAUUUGYUGGAUUUCURGAAUUUUAAUUACAAAAUUAGUAUAUAAAUACAAAAGUAGAAUUUGUUUGUCUUCUAGCUGUUUAUUAAAAACAUUUCUUUUUUUUUAAAAAGUAUCCCCUGCUCGUUGAAUAGUUUGAAAAGCUGCAGUAUCCUGACUGCACUAAGGUAGCAUAAUUACUUGCCUACUAAAUGUAGUAUUGUUUGAACGGGUUUAAUAUGAAGGUUUAAAUUUAAUUUUGUUUUAUUUGAAUUUUUCUUUCUGGUGUAGAUCCCAGAACUGAAGGUCUGUGACGAAAAGACCCUAAAGAACUUUGAUUUUAUUUAAGUUAGUAUUUUUGAUGGGAUAUCUGAGAAAUUAGUUUUCUUUUGUGUGCUAUAAAAAGUUUCCUUAGGGAUAACAGGGUAAUAUAAUUUUAGAGGGCAUAUCGAAGAUUUGGAUUACUACCUCGAUGUUGAAUCAUAGUGAAUUGCUGGCGUAGAGGCUUGUAUAUUUAGUCUGUUCGACUAUUUAAACUAUACGUGAUUUGAGUUUAGACCGGUGUGAACUAGGUCGGUUUUUAUCUAGAAUUGUUCUUGUUGGGUACGAGAGGACAA
rnacentral:rRNA from 1 species